rnacentral:rRNA from 1 species
CGUUCAGGGGUAAACCUGAGAAACCCGAAAGGUCGAAAGGGGAAAUUCAUUCGCGUCUCGGAUAUCGGCGAUGAGCAGCCGCGUGACGGAUGGCGUUCGCGUUGUCCGCGCCUUCUGUUUUUCGAACCGGUGACGAACGCGUGCACUUUUCCCCUAGUAGGACGUCGCGAUCCGUUGGGUGUCGGUCUACGGCUCGCGGUGGAGUCCGUGUGCGAUCGUUUCGGCGAUUCGUGCUCGAACCCGCGAUGUUCCGGCCGACUCGCUCGACGGUAUACAGAUGGCGCGAGGCCGCUACGUUAAUUAGCGUCCGACCCACGGCAAGCGCGUUCGAUGCUAAGACGGCGAUCGGACCUAGUGCCGAUUCCGUUUCCGGACGACUGUUGGCCGUGUGGAUCUCUCGGACAGACCUCGUUCGAAACGCUGAUCUGCGACGCUAUAGCUUUGGGUACUUUCAGGACCCGUCUUGAAACAC